ensembl:lncRNA
ACACAGAGAAUCAACUAAAGGUCACACAAUAAAAUAACAAAUAGCGCUGUUGCUAAGGUGUCGCUAGGGUGCUCUAAACAAUGUGGUUGCCAGGCAGUGUUAUUUUAGUAGCAUUUAUCUUCUAUUUUAGUCUUACUUUAAAUUAGUAUUUUUAUGUUACAUUUUCAAUUUAAUUUUAGUUUAAGAUUAAUUGUCAUUUUUAUUAAGCUUAAUUUUAUUUAUUUCAGUUUUACAUUUCAUAAUUGUAGUACUUCAGCUUCUUUUAAUUCCGUUAGUUACCAAGGCACUGUUUUAUUUUUUUUAUUUUUUAUUUUUUAAGUUUAAUUUGUUCAUCUAAUAUUUCUGUUUUAUUUUAUUUCAGCUUUAUUUUAAUUAUUAUUAAUUUUUUUUCUACGUUUCAGUUUUAGUUUAAACAACAUGGCUACAACAAAAUGUGCCUUUAGUUGCAAAAAAUACUGAUGCAAUNUUUGUUUUGUUUUUGGACGUGCAUCAUGGCAUUAUGCAUUUUGGACAUGGACCAAGAUAUGUAUUCUUUAAAGUACCAUGUCAAUACCAUGAUAAUCAUAAAAUACCAUGGUAAAAGCCAAAAUACCGUGUUCUUGUGGCAUGAUCUGAUCUCACAGUAUUUUUUGGUCAUAAUGAAUGGAGGAGCUCAAAGGUCACUGAAUCUGAUCAAAGCUUCAGUCUCUCAAACGCAGUGAACAUCGGGCUUCUGCUGGAGCUGAAAUCAGGAGAAGUGCGUGACAUGGCCUUUGUUGAAAUGACAAUACAUGCUGCGACUUAAUGAAGCACCUAUUUAGUCAACAUCUUUGAAUUUGUCCCGUAAAACCUACUUUGAGAGCAACAGAAAAUAAGAAUUGUGAUAUUUGUAAUUGCAUUACUGGAGGAACGCACAGGACUCUCCGGGAUUCAAUCAAAUUAAACACAGAUAUCUCAGAUUGGAUUGCUGCUAAAUUAGAUUUCAGGCUACCAAAAAAACAAGGAAUGUAAUCUCAUUCCACCCUGAAAAUACAGAAAAAAGAAAAAAAAUCAGUUCCGUGCACAACAAACCAAUGCAUGUCUAAACUAAAUCCAUCAGAUGUAUUAAAACACAAGAAAAAUACACAGAUGGAGAACAUAACACAUGAAGACAAACACGACCCAGAGUCAGUCUGGAUGAAACAGGAAUUCACCCGUGCACAUUACCAGAUUAAUGCUGCAUUUUAUUCUCCAAAAGGCAGAAUAUACAACCUAAAUGUAAAAAGUGUGAUAUAAAAUCUAGAGAAUUUAGCCAAGAUAAGACUUCUAAUUGCUAACUGAGACUAAUACUAUUGCUAAAGCAUUUUAGGUUUCAUUUUUGAGAUUUUGUCAUUUACACAAUUUUUAUAUAUAUUUAUUAAUUAGCUUUAAUUUAUUAUUUUAACUUGUUUAUUUUUCAAGACAUUUCUAUUUUUUCAUGUAAUAUUUAUAUUUAUUUAUUUAUUUAUUUAUUUAUUUAUUCAGUUUUAUUUCAAUUAACAUUUAAAAAAAAUAGUUUUAGUUUAGAGUUAAUAACUAAACUAAAAGUAUUAAAAAGAUUUUAGUUUUCAUUUUAAUUUAAGAUUAAGUUUUUCAGUUUGCUUUAUUUCAACAAACAAAAUAAAGUUUUAAGUUUUAGUUUAGGGUUGUUAUCG